UUCCCGCGCCGUGUGCUCAACCCCGCCAUGGCGAAGAAAGAGAAAACCCUAAAAACCCAUGCCCCCAAGAACUUGGUGCCUGGCCCCGUGACGAUGAAGAAGAAGAAGAAGAAGACGACGGAAAAGAGGAACAAGGUCUCUAACCCAAACGCCGAAAUAGGUCCUGAUGCGUUAGAUUCUACGCGAUGGAGUUCGUCAUUUCUGGUGGACGAAUCAUUGUCUCUUCUUCUUGGCUCCAGCGAAGGAGGUUUUCUUUCCCUCGAAGAGUUGGACGAAUCUGAUUUCGUCUCUUGUUCUGGACUUGACUUACAAAAGCUGCCAUCAAGCGCUUCGAGGUCGAAAGAUACGGAGGCCGAUGACCGGAAUCCCUCAGGCGACGUCAAGAAGAAGGAGAAGAAGAAAAAGAAGAAUAAGGACAAGACGUUGAAGAAGCAGGCGACCGUGGACGCUGAUACUGAUAAAGAUGUCUCGUGUCUCACUUCCAUUCAGGAGCCAAAGAUGCCUGAUGGAGGUAAAGAACAAGAUCAUGCUAUUGUUUCUCACUCUAAGAAACGUAAGAGCACCGAAGAACAUCUGUUUGCCAAUGAAAAUAGCAGGAAGAAGAAGAAGAAGAAAAAGAAGGAAGUGAAGAAAACCAGCCAAGUUGAUGGUCUGAAUGUUCAAAAUGCUGAACUGACGGAAGCACAUCCAGAUCUGGAAACCACGGGGCAGCGGGUAAGUUGCCUGAUGGAAGAAGUUGACGAGGCUGAAUUCUUUGCUUGGAAAGGUUUGAGACUUCAUCCUUUGCUUAUGAAGUCAAUCUAUGAGUUGCGAUUCAAGGAACCUACUCCUAUCCAGAAGGCAUGCAUUCCAAUGGCUGCUCAUAAAGGAAAGGAUAUAAUUGGUGCUGCGGAAACUGGGUCUGGCAAAACACUUGCAUUUGGUUUGCCCAUAUUACAACGCCUGCUCGAAGAACAGGAAAAAGCUUCUGCUCUGAACAACGAAAUUGUCGUAGAUUCUCUCCGGGCUCUGAUUGUGACUCCUACCAGAGAACUUGCUAUGCAGGUGACCGACCAUCUUAAAGCAGCUGCUAAGUAUACGAAAAUCCAGGUGGUUAGUAUUGUUGGUGGGGUGUCUUCACAGAAGCAAGAGCGGCUAUUGAAAAGAAGGCCACAAAUUAUUGUUGGAACGCCUGGAAGGCUAUGGGAACUUAUGUCUGGAGGAGACAUACAUUUGGUUGAGUUAGAGUCGUUAUCAUUCUUUGUGCUGGAUGAAGCUGAUCGGAUGAUAGAAAAUGGACAUUUUCAAGAACUUCAAUCUAUUAUCGACAUGUUGCCUAAAGUUAGUGGCCGAUCUUUGGAUAAUGGGGCUGAGAUUGCAGAAGGAUCACAUGCUUGUGAGACAAUUUCAAGGAUACAAAGGAAGAAAAGACAGACCUUUGUGUUGAGUGCAACUGUUGCACUAUCAGAAAAUUUUCGGAGGAAGCUUAAAAGAGGAUCUUUGAGCUCCAAAAGUGAUACACUGAAUUCCAUGGAGACUCUCGUGGAGCGAACAGGAAUGCGAGCAGAUGCUGCUAUUGUUGACUUAACAAAUGCUUCAAUCAUGGCUCACAAGCUUGAGGAAUCAGUCAUUGAGUGCAAGGAGGAAGAUAAGGAUUCAUACUUAUAUUAUAUUCUGAGCAUCCAUGGUCAUGGGCGCACCAUUGUUUUCUGCACAUCAUGUGCAGCAUUACGACGCGUUGCUUCAAUAUUGCGGAUUCUUGAACUGCCUGUUUGGACGCUUCAUUCUCGAAUGCAGCAAAGAGCUAGGUUGAAGGCAAUUGAUCAUUUUCGUUCAAGCGAGCAUGGAAUUCUUGUUGCUACUGAUGUUGCAGCACGAGGUCUAGAUGUCCCUGGUGUCCGGACUGUUAUUCAUUAUCAGUUACCACAUUCAGCAGAAAUUUACAUACAUAGAAGUGGAAGAACUGCUCGUGCCUCUUCUGAUGGAUGCAGCAUUGCGCUUAUUUCCCCAACAGACAGAUCUAAGUUUUCUUCUCUAUGUAAAUCUUUCUCCAAGGAAAGUCUUAAUGCGUUUCCUUUAGAUAGCUCAUACAUGCCAGCUGUUGUGAAACGUCUUUCUCUUGCUUACAGAAUAGACAAGGUUUUGCAUAUGAAUGCUCAAGAAAAUUCAAAAAAAAGCUGGUUUGAGCGUAACGCUGAGUCGCUUGAGUUGAACGUGGAAGAUGAUAGCAGUGAGGGAGAAAGAGAAAGCAAUCACAGGCAGAAGAGAAAUAUGAACUUGCAUUUAAACCAUUUGAAGAAGGAACUCAAUAAGCUCCUAUCACGUCCAUUGCAACCCACAACAUUUUCACAUCGCUUUGUUGCAGGGGCUGGCAUGUCACCUCUUCUUCAGCAGCAACUGAGAGAGUUCUCUCACAAGAAACAGAUAGACCACAAAAAUGUUAAAGGACAGAGAAGAUCCAAAAUUGUGGUGAUUGGCCGUGACCUAGUUGAGCCUCUGCAAGAACUUCGGAAGACUACAUCUUUAUAAGUUGUUACCUGAUUUUCUCAAUUUCCUUUGCUACGAUUCUUCAGGCUUCGUUGCAUUGCAAGAUUUGGGCUAUGGGUUGAUAGACGGUAGCAAACUCACUCAACCUGGGUUGUCAUACCUGUAAAGGUUUGCAGCAUUUAGGAAGCUGGAGGCAGGCGGUUAGUAUACAGGCAUAAGUCUAUGUCACUUUUGUGCUUCGUCUUGUCGGGCGUUGUUGGAUGUUGGGAUUGGUCUGAUGGUUCACAGGCUAAAAUGCUUACCGUGAUUGGUUGAGGUACGCCAUACAUGUAGAUCCAAGUACUAUGAGAAGGGCCUGAAGGGACUAACCUUGUAGCCUACUUUCACAAGAAAAAUGUUAUCUUAUCUACAUACCGGACGGAUAUGGGCAAAGGCGCAUAUCUGGCGAGAUGAGCUGACCGAGUGGGCCUUGAAAACAUUUUCUUGUCCGCUUUGAUACUUUGAAUGAUACUGACACGACAGUUAUCUGUAGAGUUACGCGAGUCUUUAUCUAUGUGCCAUUUUUUUUUU